UUCACUGACAAAAAAAUGAUAUUUUUUACCCCAACAAAUAAGGUUGCUGAGGUUACUCUGAUGCAAGGGGUAUAAUAUACUCACUCUACCUAUAAAUAAGGAGUAGGACUUAGUACUGGUGAGAAAUGACUAAACUAUACCUCAUUUGCAUUCAUACGCUAUAACUAAUACUAAUGGCUAGUGUCGAAACUACCUAUAAAUGACUAAACUUUACCCAAUUUACAUUCCAACACGGUAACUAAUACUAUUGGCUAGUAUGAUCCAAACCGUCUCUGUCAAAACUACCUAUUGAAAUUGGUUAAGGCCCGCAAUGCGCAUUGCUUUCUGGGAAUUCAUUGAAAGAAGAAUCAACCGGCGACUGUGGCGAGCCUCGCAGCGGAUGAAGUUAACUUCCAAUGGACGGGACAAAUUCAGAAGGCAGUGGUGUUGCAUCUUUUAUAUGCAUGGUUGUCCUGAAGUCAUUCUGGAACAGGGUAAGUCGCCGACUGAAGAAAAAUAAACAGACUUAAAGGCCAUAACACUGUCAUGUUAUUUGUUUAUGAAUAGCCAUUUUCACUCACUCAGGCUUGCUGUCCUUGUUGCACUGUGCACUGUGUAGGAUGGCGGCAGAGUAGAUUUUGCAACUAAAUAAUAAAGUCAUAUUUACAGUUAGUACUAUUAUAACUAAUAUUGCAAUUUGCGCAGUCAUAGAGAAUAUUUUGAAUUUGAUGGUGGUGGUAAGAAUCAGUGAAAAAGAUUUAUGACUUGGCCGCAUGAAUUAUGAAACGAGACUGCCAAAUACAUUUCACAGUGCACCUUUGAGGUCAAUAGAUCCCUUUACUGUUUGCAUACAGAUGUGACAUAAUCAAGCUGCGCUCUCAUUGUUGGAGCACAAUGGACCAUGUAUGCACAUUUGUAAAGAAACUAGCCAGGUGUUAUUUCUGAAAUAAGCAAAUGGAUGGUCACGUUAACUUCAGAUAUGAAGUGGGCACCGCUCAUUCCUUAUGGUGGCCUCAGUCCGGACGUUCUUAAAUUUCUUGAAACAAACUCCUAUGUUCUGAAACAGCCUAUUCCCGUAGAAUAGCGUAACAAGUGUUCUUUUUAGGGUCUCUAUUUAAAAAAAGGACGGCAGGUCUUCUCUCUUUAGGGUCUGCACUGUCUCUGUGUGUGUUUGAGUCAACAAUGCGUGAGCAGUCUGAUGACUUAACUUCUAUGUGAAGCUGUCAAGAGCUGUGUAGAGGGCAAAUACACUGUGGAUUGGUCACAACUGUUACUAAUAACUCAACCCCUUUACUUUUUCAGCUCUAGACAGAUGACCAAAACAGACACUAGAAUGUACCUUUAAAGAAAAAAAGUUUAACCAAUGAGUAUUCUUAAUAGUGUAUCUUGUCACAGGGUUGUGUUCAGGUGCGUGACAACUGACAACAUUGAGAAGACCCAGGAGCGGGAGAAGGGCAGCCUGAUGAAAGAAGGCGACAGUGUUCUGUGGUCACACCUGAGAUGAUGGUCCUGAAGAGGAACGAGAGGAGAUACUGGGCAUAUAAAUACAGGCACUGGUCAUCACAGUGGAGGACAAUCAUGAAAAGGUUGAGGACUUCACUGUGCCCAUCCCUGAAGUCCCUCCACUCGGUGCAGCAGCUCUUUCCACCAUACUGCCAUGCUCUGGGUUGUCCCUGCCACCAUCCACCUUUUGGGUCAUCCGUGCCGCCAGCCAUCACCGUGCCUGCAGCGCCUGGGUCAUCCGUGCCACUCCCCACCAUGCUGCCAGUCAUCACUGUGCCUGCAGCGCCUGGGUCAUCCCUGCCACCAUCCACCGUGCCUUCAACGUCCACAGCACCUCCGGUCUCUGUGAGCCAGUUUGCAGCUCUACUGGCCUUUCCAGUAUACAGUAUGCUGUAAUUGCUAAUGGUUUCUCUGAGUGGCCUGACCGGUUAAUUGUCCCGUAUCCCAACUAUUUACCACUAAACAAGUGAUUUUGUAAUAAGUAGGAGAUCUUUGCAAUGUUAUCAGUAUGGUUGGACUCUGAUGUUUCACUGCUGUAUGUCUUCCUCAAAGAGUAAAACGAAUUCUGAGUAUUCUUGGAUUUAGUCUUUGAAAAGUAGAGCAGCCCGUUUGUUUGAAACUGUUGUCCUGGACACCAAAUAGACUGGAACUGAUAUCCUUUUUUAAAAGAAACUAGUAUCCUUUUUAUGUGUGCAGUUUAAUGGUAGAACAGUAUACACUGAUGUGCCUUUAUCAGUAACAAAGUGAAAACGGAACAAAAUUUGACUAUUUCUGUCAAAAACUGCUACAAAUUCUACAUAUUGUUUAUAUAAACCUAGUUCUGGAGGAAGUCUGAGAGUUAUUGACAGUUGCCAUGUCUAGCUUCCGCCUUCGCGUAAAUUUAAAUCCCUCCUUCCCUCCUUCCCCUGUCAUGCGCAAAGGCUAUCCUAAUUGUCCCAGCACCUCCCCCUACUCCCUCAUCUCACUGGAUCACCCAGCUACAUGUCCCCUACACUUAUGGAGUGGAAGCGGAUCUCGUGCCGCAUGAUCUCCGCAGGGUCCCAGGACAGAGGCCAGCUAACAUCGAAUUAUGCCUAUUGACUAUGGUUACCAUACUCCAGGGCAAACUCGUGAAUUAAAUGGUCCUGUUGUUUAUGUUUGUUUACUUUUUGUGAGAUAAACUGAAACAUUGUGUAUCUGCUCAUUUUUCACAUUUUCCUGUUGGCGAUAUCCCUUUAAAUAAAACAUCUUGGUUGAUAUGCACAGGUUUGUUGUAAUUGUAAUUUCCCUG